rnacentral:rRNA from 1 species
AGACAGCAGUAGCCGCGGUAAAACGGAGGGUGCAAGCGUUAAUCGGAAUUACUGGGCGUAAAGCGCACGCAGGCGGUCUGACAAGUCAGAUGUGAAAUCCCCGGGCUUAACCUGGGAACUGCAUUUGAAACUGUCAGGCUGGAGUCUUGUAGAGGGGGGUAGAAUUCCAGGUGUAGCGGUGAAAUGCGUAGAGAUCUGGAGGAAUACCGGUGGCGAAGGCGGCCCCCUGGACAAAGACUGACGCUCAGGUGCGAAAGCGUGGGGAGCAAACAGGAUUAGAUACCCCUGUAGUCCCUGUCUCUUAUAC